GUGUCCUCCUGAGGUAAAAGUAACGUCACGUGACAUGUUGUUUACAAGUUGUUGCAAGUCUUUCCAGAGUUGGAACACGCGUUUUAGCGAUUAAACAAGAUUAUACAUUUCGCGGUCAGAUGUUGUUGUCCCGUUGAAGCAGAAGAUCCUCACUGGAACAUCUCAAGUCAUGCUGCAGAACAUGAUCAUCAGGUUUGUUCAAAUAUCAAAAUACUCACCAAAAUAAUAUCAUACAAGGAUCAUUCCAGCUCCAAGUAAGUCACUUUAGGUUUGUUUAAAUAUGCAUACGCAUAAGUCAUAUGUUAAGAAAAGCUUUUUCAGUCUUUGUUCCAGAUAACCAGUGAUAGCCUUAAAAAUUCAUUUCACUUGAGUAUCUCACAUGCCAAUGCGUCUCCUCUUCUGCAACUCUACAUAAUGUAUCACAGUGAUAACAGUUAUCAGAUAUAAAGAUGUAUAUCUGAUAUCAGCUAUAUAUUUAUCAGAUAUCAAGAACACUACUGGUAUCAAUUAACAUUUAUUAUUUUUAAAUAAUACAAUAAAUAUACUACAAAGGAACAUGGGCUUUGGUAGAGAGUUACAACAAACAUCGCUCUCUCUCCAUUUCACAAUGAAGGACAGGCCUGUUUUCAUCGGAGCACUGAGAGGAUGUCUCAUACGGCUGAUAAAAAAAAGAGAAACGUGGCUGUGGGAAGACACAUGAAGAGAAAGCUUAACAUUUUCAUGCAUACAGGAAAGUUUUAAUGCUUCAGUUUUAAUGCUUAAAAGACAUACAAGGGUGGGAGGACACAGUAAACCUGAAUUUAUUGACACAAAACCAAUAUCUCUUCUAUCUUCUCGUACACAGGUUUGACACGACCGCACAAACAAACAAACAUUACAAAGACAAAAAAAUAAAAAUAAUAAAACAGAAUAAACUUUAUUGGCAGCAUUACUGCUGGUUUUGGAAUUUACAGAAGAAUUUGUUUCGUACUGUUAAAAUUGUGUCAAAACCGCAUAUUCCAUGUUGAAUCCUCUUAAAAGAAACAGUUCAAGUCAUAUUUAAUCAAAACUUAGAGCAAGAUUUUGCAGUAGCAGGUCUAGUGGUCAAAAAGCAGAAUAAAAGAGUGCGGGAAAAUGUCUAGUGGCAAAAGGUGUGAUAGAUCAAUAACAAGAUGGCUCUAGCCAAUGACAACAAAUUCUGGCAGGUGAAAGAAUAUAUGCUAGUGAAAUUUUGUAAUGUACAACACACUUGAAUAAUCACACAAGACAAUCUGAUUCUUGGUCUUCAAGUCUCUUAAAUUAAGAGAAAUCUCUUUGGAAGGAGUCGAGUUAACUAUUCAUUCCUCUAAGCGUUUUGGUUAAAAUAUUCACAGAACCCUUGAAAAAGAUCUAAUGGAAAGGUCCCAAGCUAAUUCUCCAGAGCUGUUUUAAAUGCUUCAUUUCCAUCGCUUCUGUUAGUUCGAGUAGAGAACACUUUACAUUACAGGGUCCAUGUUAGACGUGAUACCUCAAUCACAACAGAAUUAACAGUAAUUGUGCUCCGUUUAACCAUUUCAGAUCGUGUGAAUUGACUGUGAUCCGAACGUUGUAAUGUUAAGUGUGAGCUAAAGCCUUUAGAGGACUAUAAAUGAUCUCCAUAUGACAAUCUGGAAUUUGUCAAACGUGGUGAGGAAUGAUAACAGAAGAAAAACAUGUUCUCAUCAGUAAAUGAAUAUGAUUUAACGGCAUGCAUAAAAAUACUUCCCCACCUCGGGAAGUAAAGCUAGGACUGAAGACGUGGAACCGCUUUUGGGCAUCACCGCAGAGCCAUUUUCAACUACAAUAAACAAGUACAGGAAAAAAGGUAUAUAUUUUUAGCACCACAGGCAGAAGGAGAUAGCACCUAGUUUACCGAUAUUGUGUUUCCUCAGUGUGAUGGUGUGCUCUUCUGAUACAGGGAAGCACCGAUUCAUGAACGUCAUCCUCAUUCAUGCGGGUCGCGAUCUCACAGACCCAGGGAAGCCACUUCAACACGACAGGUAGCAAAUUAAUGCUCACAUUACGGCUGUUUCUUACUUUUAUUAUCAUUUUGUUGUUUAAAUUACAAAAAGACGCUGUUCACAACUGGAAUAAAACAUUUGGUUGCUGUUGCAGUUGCUUUUUUAAUCAUUUCCUUUAUUUUCUCUUCUUCAGAUUCACUGGACAUUUCCUCAGGCUCUUAUUUGGGGGGAUAUUUUAUUUUU